ACGAACGCUGGCGGCAUGCCUAACACAUGCAAGUCGAACGAGACCUUCGGGUCUAGUGGCGCACGGGUGCGUAACGCGUGGGAACCUGCCCUUAGGUUCGGAAUAACUCCCCGAAAGGGGUGCUAAUACCGGAUAAUGUCUUCGGACCAAAGAUUUAUCGCCUUUGGAUGGGCCCGCGUUGGAUUAGCUAGUUGGUAGGGUAAAAGCCUACCAAGGCGACGAUCCAUAGCUGGUCUGAGAGGAUGAUCAGCCACACUGGGACUGAGACACGGCCCAGACUCCUACGGGAGGCAGCAGUGGGGAAUAUUGGACAAUGGGCGAAAGCCUGAUCCAGCACUGCCGCGUGAGUGAUGAAGGCCUUAGGGUUGUAAAGCUCUUUUACCCGGGAUGAUAAUGACAGUACCGGGAGAAUAAGCUCCGGCUAACUCCGU
rnacentral:rRNA from 1 species